GAUGGUCUACUGUUACAGGAAGAUCGCAGCAGCUGGAGAGGAAGCUCUGAGAGAGAGCGAGGCGGAAUAUUUAGCUAUAACCUCGGAGAGCAAAGAUAAUUCUGUAGGUGUAGCGGUGGCAGAAUAACACAGGACCAAAAAAAGUCUCAAGUCAAAAGCUUGACGCUCUGUCCAUCAUGGCAUCACCAAUGGCCUCCUCGGUCACCCUCACCGGCUCUCUGUGAAACCACAGGGCUGCUGUUUUUACCGUUGUGUACGACUGUGACAGAACCGCCAUUCUAAACCAUCAGGGAAACACACAGUCACACAUUACAUAAAAAGGAAAUGUUUUGUUUUAAGGCUCUAGAUGACAACUUUGAGGUUAACGAAUGAAUGAUGCAUUCACUGGUUCAAGCAUGAAUCUGUAACACUUAACAGAACACUGAACUUGACUUGUACAUACGUGUUUGAGCUUUUAACAUCUCUUUGCUGUUUCCACAUAAUGAAAACUCAGCUUUACUUGGAUAAAACUGUCACCACAGUAUAUCUACUGAGCCAGAGGACAUCACAACAUAUUAUAAUGUGUAUAAAAAUCACUAGUAUAUUUACUGAGUCAGAGAGAAAAAAACAACACCAUAAGAACGGUCAAAUACAAUAUGUGAAAACAUAUCUAUUUAUAUCAUUAUUUAAAUAUCAAAAAUACAUAUCAAUAAAAAAUA